rnacentral:rRNA from 1 species
CCUACGGGUGGCAGCAGUGAGGAAUAUUGGUCAAUGGACGAGAGUCUGAACCAGCCAAGUAGCGUGAAGGAUGACUGCCCUAUGGGUUGUAAACUUCUUUUAUAUGGGAAUAAAAUGUUCCACGUGUGGGCUUUUGUAUGUACCAUCUGAAUAAGGAUCGGCUAACUCCGUGCCAGCAGCCGCGGUAAUACGGAGGAUCCGAGCGUUAUCCGGAUUUAUUGGGUUUAAAGGGAGCGUAGGUGGGUUGUUAAGUCAGUUGUGAAAUUUUGCGGCUCAACCGUAACAUUGCAGUUGAAACUGGAAGUCUUGAGUACAGUAGAGGUGGGCGGAAUUCGUGGUGUAGCGGUGAAAUGCUUAGAUAUCACGAAGAACUCCGAUUGCGAAGGCAGCCAACUGGACUGCAACUGACACUGAGGCUCGAAAGUGUGGGUAUCAAACAGGAUUAGAUACCCCAGUAGUC